UGCCGGGUGUGGGCGAAAUACAAUACCCGAAAGGGGAACUAGCCCGCAGCUCCAUGGGCUGUUUUCAGCACCCGGCAAUUCCCAC
rnacentral:ncRNA from 1 species